AUGGAAGAAACUACUUACUCCCUAAUGGCCA
rnacentral:piRNA from 1 species